UACGUAGGGUGCAAGCGUUAAUCGGAAUUACUGGGCGUAAAGCGUGCGCAGGCGGUUGUGCAAGACAGAUGUGAAAUCCCCGGGCUCAACCUGGGAAUUGCAUUUGUGACUGCACGGCUAGAGUGUGUCAGAGGGGGGUAGAAUUCCACGUGUAGCAGUGAAAUGCGUAGAGAUGUGGAGGAAUACCGAUGCGAAGGCAGCCCCCUGGGAUAACACUGACGCUCAUGCACGAAAGCGUGGGGAGCAAACAGG
rnacentral:rRNA from 1 species